rnacentral:tRNA from 1 species
GCACAAGUGGCUAAACAUUUGGUUUCUAACCAAAAGGUCGGCAGUUUGAAUCUGCCCUCUGCU